GCAGGUUCUCGGCCUUUUGGCUAAGAUCAAGUGUAGUAUCUAUUCUUAUCAGUUUGUUGACUUUUAAUAUCCAGUGAUAACCCUUAUGGUUGUUCAGAAUGUUCCCUGUUCAAAGGCCUCUAGCAGAUGAGGAGAGAUAGGAAAAGACAUGUUAUAUUCUUUCUCUAUACCAGAUUUAAUACAUGUUUUCAUU